GUUUUGAAGAAACCUGUGCCGUAGACAGCCGGUAUCCGCAAGGAUGUAAAGGAGUUCGCUCCGCCUGCCGAGGUGUGAAGGAUAUAGCAUGAAAUUUGCUCAUCCCUUGCACCUGUUGCAAGGGUUUUCUUUUACUCCC
rfam:Faecalibacterium sp. CAG:74 genomic scaffold, scf425